rnacentral:rRNA from 1 species
GUAGGAUAAAAAUAAAUUGUAUUAGUUAAAAGUUGGAUGAGAUGAAGUUAGGAGAAUAAUUGAUUUUAUAGGUAAAAUUUGUAAAAUUAAAUAUUUCUUAGAAUGGGAAGUUGAAGCUUUGAAAAUUGAAGUUAAAACUAGGAUUAGAUACCCUAUUAUUUUAAUUGUAAAAGAAAGAGGCUUGAGUAGUAUUAGUUAAGUACUUGAAACUCAAAGAAUUUGGCGGUGUCUUAAUCUUUUCAGAGGAAUCUGUCCUAUAAUCGAUAUUACACGUUAAAUGUUACUUAAUUUGGUAUAGUCAAUUUGUAUACCGCCGUCAUAAGAUCAUCUUUUUAGAGAAAGAAUUUUCUUAAUAUUAUAAGAUAGUAUGUCAGGUCAAGGUGCAGUUUAUAAUUAAGUAGGAGAUGGAUUACAAUAAAUCUAUUUAAAUGGAUUUUCUAUUGAAAAAUAGGAAUGAAGGUGGAUUUGAAGGUAAUUUUGUUAAAUUAUGAUAAAAUGAUUGAAGCUCUAGGACAUGUACACAUCGCCCGUCGCUCUCGUUAUUAAGAUGAGAUAAGUCGUAACAUAGUAGUCGUACUGGAAAGUGUGGCUAGAAAGUCAA